rnacentral:rRNA from 1 species
UUAGUGGCGAACGGGUGAGUAAUACGUGAGUAACCUACCUUUAACUCUGGGAUAAGCCUGGGAAACUGGGUCUAAUACCGGAUACGACCAAUCUCCGCAUGGGGUGUUGGCGGAAAGCGUUAUGUAGUGGUUAUAGAUGGGCUCACGGCCUAUCAGCUUGUUGGUGAGGUAACGGCUCACCAAGGCGACGACGGGUAGCCGGCCUGAGAGGGUGACCGGCCACACUGGGACUGAGACACGGCCCAG